GACGAACGCUGGCGGCGUGCUUAACACAUGCAAGUCGAACGGAAAGGCCCCUUUGGGGGUCCUCGAGUGGCGAACGGGUGAGUAACACGUGAGUAACCUGCCCUUGACUUCGGGAUAACUUCAGGAAACUGGGGCUAAUACCGGAUAGGAAUCCUUGCUGCAUGGUGGGGGUUGGAAAGCUUCGGCGGUUUUGGAUGGACUCGCGGCUUAUCAGCUUGUUGGUGGGGUAGUGGCUUACCAAGGCUUUGACGGGUAGCCGGCCUGAGAGGGCGACCGGCCACAUUGGGACUGAGGAACGGCCCAGACUCCUACGGGGGGCAGCAGGGGGGAAUAUUGCACAAUGGGCGGAAGCCUGAUGCAGCAACGCCGCGGGCGGGAUGACGGCCUUCGGGUUGGAAACCGCUUUCAGCAGGGGCGAAGCUUGUGGUGACGGUACCUGCAGAAGAAGGAACGGCUAACUACGUG
rnacentral:rRNA from 1 species